UUCCACCAAUCCUCAUUCCUGAAUACAUUUGUUCAGUUCUCUGAUUUUCUCUUAAGCUUUUCUUCCUUCGUUUCCUACAAUCUCUCAUAGGCUUUUCAGGCUUAUGUUAUUAUCAAAGGUUUCUCAACUAUUAAGUUCUUUUUGUUCCUUGAAAGGGCUCUAAUCGAUUUACCAAGGAUGCCAAAUCCAUUGGCUAGUUUUGUUUGUUUACUGAUAAAGCAGAUCUUGAGUGACGACCGUUUGGAAGGCAUAAGUAAACUGUAAACCAACUGGAGGAGGAUCGAAUGGAAAGAAAUCUGAACCUAGUGAAUCUAUGUAACGGAACUCAAAGCAGUUUUGUUGAGUUGGUCAGUGAGCUCUUCAUCGUUGAGUCUUUUUCCGCCUUGGUAAGUUGUGCUUAUUGGCCCAGUGAACUGUUCAUGCCUUUAAAAACUUCCUUGGUACAGCUGACUCCAAAGCUCAAGGAAGGAACAAGUACCUCGAGAUCAUCAGUUGCUGAGAAGUUUAAGAGGCAUCCUUACAGUUUAAACUGGGUGGCUGCUGUAACUCAGUACGGGCAUGUAGCAGCGACUAAUCUUCAUGCUUAUGAAGGGAACACCAGAGAUUGUAAAGACAAAGGCAUGGGAUGGUUAAAGAUAGAGAGAUAGUUGACAAAGGAGAAAUCUCACUUAAAGAACUCAUGGGAGGUUGAUGAUGAUGAUGAUGUUGGUUCUGAGGAUGAGUUGUGGAUAGUCAAAUAGUCUUUAACCUGAUUCUUCUACUUUAAAUAUCUGAACCAUUGAAUGUUACACCAUUUUAAACAAUUUUCCAAAAGAAAGUAAGAGCUUUUCAAGAGAUAGGAACAUGUUUGCAUUUUGGAUUUAGAAAGACACAUAAGAGGGAUUCUCUACUGGUGUAAUAACA